ACCAUCACCGCAUACAUGAGCAGCUAGGCCAAGACCCAGCAGCUGCCCGCCGCCCCCGCCCUCAGCGCCGCCGACACCAAGCCCGGAACUACAGGCAGCGGCACAGGGAGUGGUGGCCCGGGCGGCCUCACAUCGGUGGCGCCUGCCGGCGGGGACAAUAAGGUCAUCGCAACGAAGGUUUUGCGAACAGUAAAAUGGUUCAAUGUAAGGAACGGAUAUGGUUUCAUCAACAGGAAUGACACCAAGGAAGAUGUAUUUGUACACCAGACUGCCAUAAAGAAGAAUAACCCCAGGAAGUACCUUCGCAGUGUAGGAGAUGGAGAGACUGUGGAGUUUGAUGUUGUUGAAGGAGAAAAGGGUGUGGAGGCAGCAAAUGUUACAGGUCCUGGUGGCGUUCCAGUUCAAGGCAGUAAAUAUGCAGCAGACCUAACCAUUAUAGACGCUAUCCACGUUAUAGGGGUCCUCCACGCAAUUACCAGCAAAAUUACCAGAAUAGUGAGAGUGGGGAAUAGAACGAGGGAUCAGAGUGCUCCCGAAGGCCAGGCCCAACAACGCCGGCCCUACGGCAGGCGAAGGUUCCCACCUUACUACAUGCGGAGACCCUAUGGGUGUCGACCACAAUAUUCCAACCCUCCUGUGCAGGGAGAAGUGAUGGAGGGUGCUGACAACUAGGGUGCAGGAGAACAAGGUAGACCAGUGAGGCAGAAUAUGUAUCGGGGAUAUAGACCACGAUUCCGCAGGGGCCCUCCUUGCAAAAGACAGCCUAGAGAGGAUGGCAAUGAAGAGGAUAAAGAAAAUCAAGGAGAUGAGACCCAAGGUCAGCAGCCACCUCAACGUCGUACCGCCGCAACUUCAAUUACAGAGGCAGACGCCCAGAAAACCCUAAACCACAAGAUGGCAAAGAGACAAAAGCAGUGGAUCCACCAGCUGAGAAUUCGUCCCCUCCCGAGGCUGAGCAGGGCGGGGCUGAGUAAAUGCCGGCUUACCAUCUCUACCAUCAUCUGGUUUAGUCAUCCAACAAGAAGAAAUAAGAAAUUCCAGCAGUAAGAAAUGAACAGAAGAUUGGAGCUGAAGACCUUAAGUGCUUGCUUUUGCGCAUUGACCAGAUAAAUAGAACUAUCUGCAUUAUCUAUGCAGCAUGGGGUUUUUAUUAUUUUUACCUAAAGAUGUCUCUUUUUGGUAAUAACGUGUUUUUUAAAAAGGCCUGGUUUUUCUCAAUACGCCUUUAAAGGUUUUUAAAUUGUUUCAUAUCUGGUCAAGUUGAGAUUUUUAAGAACUUCAUUUUUAAUUUGUAAUAAAAGAUUACAACUUGAUUUUUUCAAAAAAGUCAACAAACUGCAAGCACCUGUUAAUAAAGGUCUUAAAUAAUAAUAAUAAAAAAAAACACACCUAUAACACUAAUCCUUCCAGCUGCAUUCUUAGCGACCAGUUCCUGCCUCAAGGCAAAAUUAUGACUUGGUUUAUCCUCACCUCUGGAGGCCAGUAAAAGUGGGUUAUAGAAGAACAAAGUUAAGAGGCAUCUAGAAUCUUUCACUGGGUUAUUUGGGGAGAAAUAUCUCCUUCUCAAGGUCAGUUUAACAAGACUGGUGGAGGAGGUUAUCUUAUCUCAUUCACAGAAACCGACACAUUGAGUCGAGAAAAAUGAAGACAUAGGGAAAUAGGUUCUAAAUAAAAGAAAAUAAGUCUUCAGAAGUCAACCGUGAUGAAAUGAAGAUAUGUGGUUAACCUGACAGGAAAUUAAAAAGAGCAGUCAUAAAGAGGUUCACUGAGGUGUUGGGAGCAAUGCAUGAACAAACUGAGAAUUUUCAUAAAGAAAAGACAUCAAAAAGUAUAAAGUUGAAGAACACAAUAACUGGAUUCAAAAAUUUAGUAGAUGUGUCCAACAGCAGAAUAGAUGAAGCAGAAGAAAGGACUAUGAAACUUAUAGAUAAGCCAUUGGAAAUCAUUUAAUCUGAGGAGAAAAGAGAAAAAAGACUGAAGUUAGUUUAAGAGAAUUUUGGGACUCCUUCAAAGGGGAAUAAUUUAUAAAUUGCCAGAUGGAGAAGAUAGAGGGAAAAGGCCAGAAAACAUAUUUGAAGAAAUAAUGUCAGAAAACCUUGGAAGUCUGGGAAGAAAAUAGAAAUUUAGAUCUAGGCCGGGCGCGGUGGCCCAAGACUGUAAUCCCAGCACUUUGGGAGGCCGAGGCAGGUGGAUCAUGAGGUCAAGAGAUCGAAACCAUCCUGGUCAACAUGGUGAAACCCUGUCUCUACUAAAAAUACAAAAAAAAAAAAAAAAAAAAAAAAUUAGCUGGGCAUGGUGGCGCGUGCCUGUAAUCCCAGCUACUCAGGAGGCUGAGGCAGGAGAAUUGCCUGAACCCAGGAGGCAGAGGUUGCGGUGAGCCGAGAUCACGCCAUUGCACUCCAGCCUGCGUAACAAGAGCGAAACUCCGUCUCAAAAAAAAGAAAAAAGAAAUUUAGAUCUAGGAAUCUCAACGUUAGGUAGGAUGAAUCCAAGGAGACUGAGACCAAAACAUAUUGUAAUAGUCAAAGGUAAAAGAAUCUUCAAAGCAGCAAGGGAAUAGUCUCCUUUUACAUACAAAAUGGUCCAUGGAAGACUGUCAACAGACUUCACCAGGAAACUUUCAGGCCAGAAGGUAGUGGGUGAUAUAUA